ACGAACGCUGGCGGCGUGGAUAAGACAUGCAAGUCGAACGAGAGAAUUGCUAGCUUGCUAAUAAUUCUCUAGUGGCGCACGGGUGAGUAACACGUGAGUAACCUGCCCCCGAGAGCGGGAUAGCCCUGGGAAACUGGGAUUAAUACCGCAUAGUAUCGAAAGAUUAAAGCAGCAAUGCGCUUGGGGAUGGGCUCGCGGCCUAUUAGUUAGUUGGUGAGGUAACGGCUCACCAAGGCGAUGACGGGUAGCCGGUCUGAGAGGAUGUCCGGCCACACUGGAACUGAGACACGGUCCAGACACCUACGGGUGGCAGCAGUCGAGAAUCAUUCACAAUGGGGGAAACCCUGAUGGUGCGACGCCGCGUGGGGGAAUGAAGGUCUUCGGAUUGUAAACCCCUGUCAUGUGGGAGCAAAUUAAAAAGAUAGUACCACAAGAGGAAGAGACGGCUAACUCUGUGCCAGCAGCCGCGGUAAUACAGAGGUCUCAAGCGUUGUUCGGAAUCACUGGGCGUAAAGCGUGCGUAGGCUGUUUCGUAAGUCGUGUGUGAAAGGCGCGGGCUCAACCCGCGGACGGCACAUGAUACUGCGAGACUAGAGUAAUGGAGGGGGAACCGGAAUUCUCGGUGUAGCAGUGAAAUGCGUAGAUAUCGAGAGGAACACUCGUGGCGAAGGCGGGUUCCUGGACAUUAACUGACGCUGAGGCACGAAGGCCAGGGGGGCGAAAGGGAUUAGAUACCCCUGUAGUCCUGGCAGUAAACGGUGCACGCUUGGUGUGCGGGGAAUCGACCCCCUGCGUGCCGGAGCUAACGCGUUAAGCGUGCCGCCUGGGGAGUACGGUCGCAAGAUUAAAACUCAAAGAAAUUGACGGGGACCCGCACAAGCGGUGGAGUAUGUGGCUUAAUUCGAUGCAACGCGAAGAACCUUACCUGGGCUUGACAUGUAAUGAACAACAUGUGAAAGCAUGCGACUCUUCGGAGGCGUUACACAGGUGCUGCAUGGCCGUCGUCAGCUCGUGUCGUGAGAUGUUUGGUUAAGUCCAGCAACGAGCGCAACCCCUGUUGCCAGUUACCAGCACGUGAAGGUGGGGACUCUGGCGAGACUGCCCAGAUCAACUGGGAGGAAGGUGGGGACGACGUCAGGUCAGUAUGGCCCUUAUGCCCAGGGCUGCACACGUACUACAAUGCCCAGUACAGAGGGGGCCGAAGCCGCGAGGCGGAGGAAAUCCUAAAAACUGGGCCCAGUUCGGACUGUAGGCUGCAACCCGCCUACACGAAGCCGGAAUCGCUAGUAAUGGCGCAUCAGCUACGGCGCCGUGAAUACGUUCCCGGGUCUUGUACACACCGCCCGUCACAUCAUGGAAGCCGGUCGCACCCGAAGUAUCUGAAGCCAACCGCAAGGAGGCAGGGUCCUAAGGUGAGACUGGUAACUGGGAUG
rnacentral:rRNA from 1 species